CGCAUGGUUGGCUGGAGAGAAUUUGGUCAUGAAUAAGAUGCAACCUCAAACCUCCUCCACUGGUUCUGUGUGAACAGGUACAUUAAUCUUCCUUUGUAUCAGUAGCAAGCUGUGGGGUGAAUGGCAGGUGGGCCCCAGAAGUCAAUUUCCUAUUGGGCAAGCGCAAUGUCCAUGCUCUGCAGAAACUUAGGAACUGUUACAGAACUUUACAGAAAAGAGGACAACACUUUAGCUGAAGCCUGCCUGCUGACCAUGGAACUAAAUAUGAUCAGGCAGACUUUUAACUGGAAUACUUGAAACCCCAUCAUUCUCUAAGAUGAAGAACGAGGAGUGCAAAACCAGUCUGCAGCCACAGCAGCUCUAAGGCACUAGAUGGUGGUGAACAGCUGCCUCACUUCAGGCUGGUUGUUCUGAAGAUGAGAGCACCUGAAUUCAGCGGUACUGAAUACAGAAUUCCCUUUUCUAAAGCGUGAAGGAAAGAAACCAUCUCUGGAGAAGGAUGUGUAAGGUGACUGAGGCUGGUGAGAAAGGAAUUUAUGUGGAAGAGGCAUCUGUGCAUUAAUGCGGUUUAGAAAUACUCAAGGGAGAAGCUAGUCCCAUCUUUAAACACUCGCCAUAAGCACGUGUCUUACAGCUGCCUGCUUCAGGCUUAUCAACAGCCUUGCCUCCUGGGUUGACCAUUAAGGACAUCUGCAACUUACUGUUUCUCUUCUUUGUUCUGUUUUUCAACAGUACAGGAGCUCCGGAAGGUGAUGAGAGGACAGAAGAGCCGGAGAAAAACUCCCAGACCCAGGCGCAGACGCGGUGGGCCAUUUGGACCUCCAUCAUCUGAGAGUGUCAAGAAGAGUGGUUGGCACAUUUGGAAUUUAAUAAAUACUUCUCGAACCAGUAGAAGGAAUGAAUGCUAGACUCUUCCAAGAUUGCAACAACUAACAAUCAAAGCAAAGUCCUAGAAAAAAAAAAAAGGUGUUAUAAGGAUGUGACCAAGUCAAAGGAAUAUCCUAAUGCAUCCUCGAAAGUACAGAGAUUUCAUUAACAGGUAGACUGAUGUGCACCCACGUGGCCGACUGUUUUCCACUGUGCCUUCCCCAUCGGAAGACCAGAUCACCACCUGACCUCAGAGAUGCCACCAGCUCCCAGUUGCUCCAUUCCUAUUGCUUUGUUUGAUUAGGAAGUCCUAGAAGGGGAAGGAGUGACUACAUAUUUGUCCACGGGGGUAUCAAUAUUUGGGCAAAAAAGGCUGUUGGUCACAUCUGUCAUUCUUUGCUGGCAUCAAGAGAACUCGAGGGCAUUUUCAAGAAUGUAUAUUCAUCUAAAUAUGUGGGACAGAGGAGUCAGGCGGAAAGGCUUUUCUGAGGCAUGCUGCAUCUUGCUCGGCUGGAAAUGUCUUUCAAUAAGGAGGCAACACGGAGGCCAUGUGAUACAAUCCCGUAGACAGAGCCAAGUGGAAUACAUCAAAGAGAGCCUUGAUGCAGAUGUUUCAUGCAGAAGAAAAUUAGGGUUUGCACAGCGGUGGCAGAAAGCCUCGGAAAAGCCCUCAAAGGAGAAGUGGUGCCUUUCAUCCUGGAGCUAAACCUACACGUGACCCAGGAAUUGGAAAAACUGAUAGAAGGUUCAUUGGGAACUGGAGUUGCUGCUGGUUUGGCUGCUGCCCCAUGACAACAAGGUUGGAAGAGACUUCACCCAUGAGGCGUACUGAAUAAAUAGACUUUCGCCAUCAUUCUCCAAAGAGGUUGGGAAGGAACCACUCAUGAGGAAAGCCUGGAGGGGACAAAUUGUCAGAAUGAAGUAUGGUCCUUUGUUCAGAAUCAGAAGAGUUACCCACUCGAAUCAUAAAAUACCAGAUGAAGCUCACUUCACUAAACAUGGGUGCAAUACAUUGGAUGUGGCAAGACGAUCUGAGGCAAGAUUUGGAUGAGCUUUGAAUCUACACUGAGAAGUCUUGACUUGGGCAACACCCUUACACAUGGAGCUAUUUAGGAGGGGAAUGCUCCUAUCUUUCUGAAUGGUUUAGAGAGCACAGAUCUGGAGCCAGACUGCCUGGAUUGGAAUUCCAAUGCUACCACUUACUACCUUUGCAACCUUGGUCAGAGAGAGGGGCUCAGUUCAGAUACCUCCCAGACAAUCACCACUAUUUCCAGGAGACCACAACCUUUCUCCAAGCCAAAUCAAAUCCAGGACUUGUGAAACACCAUCGCCUAAUUUUCAAAUCAACAGUACAGAAGCUAGAAAAUAAGCUUUAUCUCUUAGAAUAAAGUGAAAUUCUUGAACUAUAGAACUACUACCUUAUUUCAGGCAAAAGAAAGAUUUUGGGUGAAGAACAGGUAUAAAUGUGUCUGUCAUCAGAAAGAAAAAUAGAACUGUCUGAGACAGCUGUAAGUCCAAGUGGAGUUGGUAGAUUUUUAAACACACUCCCCAGGCCAAACAAAGAACUUAUUUGUGUAUGGUGAAGUAUGAUUUACCAAGGAAGGGGGCUCACUGUCCUAUCUGAAACAUCCUUUUGAAAGACACCUGCAGCACUAUUAUGCAACGUAAAGCACCAGGUCAUUAAGGGCUCCGUCAAUCAAGUUACUGAUUCUUCCAGAUACGGCUGGUGAAUAAAGAAGGCACAUCUCCGUUUCAGACUGAAAGUCACACUCCACCUGCUCCAAGCCCUGGGGUUUUGAAAAAAAGAGAAGUUAACCUAAUCUACUUCCAUACUAAAAGAAACAUUUGGUUCUCAAAGCCAGACUUUAGGAGUUCUUUCAUCCAAGCAGAAGCUGAUUCUUCAGUUAGAUCCUUCUGCUACAGCUGCUUCCAAAUAUCUGAGAAGAUUGUCCAAGAUGGCAGAGUAAAAAGACCCUGAGCUCACCUCCUUUCAUGAGCACAUCAAAAUCACAACGAUCUGCAGAAGAGCCAUCAGUGAAAAAGACUGGAGCCUACCAGAAAAGAUCUUCUACAACUAAAGACAUAAAGAAGGAACCACAAUGAAAUGUGUAGGAGGGGCGGACUUGCGCUAUCAUCAAAUCCUAUAACCUUGGGUUGGCGACCACAGACCGGAGAAUAAUUAUAUCGCAGAGGUACCUCCCAUAAGAGUGAGAGUUAUGAGCCCCAAAUCAAGCUCCUCAGCCCAGGGGUCCUGGACUGGGAAGAUGAGCCCCCAGAGCAUGCGGUUUGAAGACAAGUGGGGCUUACUUUUUGACAGCCCUGUAGGACUGGGAGAAAUAGAAACUUCACUAGGGUGAAGUGCACACAAAAUCUCACAUGCACUGGGACCCAGGGCAAAAGGCGUAAUUUGAUAGGAACCUGGGCCAGACCGAACUGCUGAUCUGUGGGGGAGAUUGGGGGGGGGCACAGCAGCUGUGGCUCACCCUGGGGACAUAGACUCUGGUGGCAGUCAUAUUUGGGAGUGUUCUACCUUGUGGACACUGUUGUUCGCAUUGUGAGAUCCUCCUUCUAGCUCAUUAGCAUCAAGAGCUGUUCCCACCCAAAAGCCUGUAGACACUAGUACUGGGGACACCUCAGG